rnacentral:rRNA from 1 species
AUUGAACGCUGGCGGUGUGCUUCACACAUGCAAGUCGAACGAGGUAGCAAUACCUAGUGGCGGACGGGUGAGUAACGCGUGGGAAUCUGCCUUUAGAUGGGGGAUAACGGGUCGAAAGACUCGCUAAUACCGCAUAUGACGAAAGUUGAAAGGAGUAAUCCGUCUAAAGAUGAGCCCGCGUCCGAUUAGCUAGUUGGUAGAGUAAAAGCCUACCAAGGCGACGAUCGGUAGCUGGUCUGAGAGGAUGAUCAGCCACAAUGGGACUGAGACACGGCCCAUACUCCUACGGGAGGCAGCAGUGGGAAUUUUACGCAAUGGGCGAAAGCCUGACGUAGCGACACCGCGUGAGCGAAGAAGCCCCUUGGGGUGUAAAGCUCUGUCAGCUGGAACGAAAAAAUAGACGGUACCAGCAGAGGAAGGCAUCGGCUAACUACG